rnacentral:snRNA from 1 species
AGCGGCUGGAAGAGCACCGC